rnacentral:lncRNA from 1 species
GCGACGAGGAUGAGCAGCCGCGGCCCCGGGCCCAGGGCGGCGCGGCCGGAGCGGGCGGGGGUCCCGAUGCAGGCCCGAGGGGGGCCAUGGGGCAGGUCCUGCCGGUCUUCGCCCACUGCAAUGGCGCGGAGCAUCUCCUGUGAGCAGAGCUCGAGCCGCCUCCGAGGGGCUGCAUCCCCGGCUGAAAAUGCCCGCUUGGCUCUUUGGACCUCUGAGCCCUGGUCUCUGGCAGACCGUGUUUGCAUCCUCUGUCCCACACCGGGCAGGGGUCUGUCAGCUCCAGUUUUCCUGACCUACAAC